rnacentral:rRNA from 1 species
AGAGCGAACGCUGGCGGCAGGCCUAAUACAUGCAAGUCGAACGGAUCCUUCGGGAUUAGUGGCGGACGGGUGAGUAACACGUGGGAACGUGCCCUUUGGUUCGGAACAACUCAGGGAAACUUGAGCUAAUACCGGAUGUGCCCUUCGGGGGAAAGAUUUAUCGCCAUUGGAGCGGCCCGCGUCUGAUUAGCUAGUUGGUGAGGUAAAGGCUCACCAAGGCUUCGAUCAGUAGCUGGUCUGAGAGGAUGAUCAGCCACACUGGGACUGAGACACGGCCCAGACUCCUACGGGAGGCAGCAGUAGGGAAUCUUGCGCAAUGGGCGAAAGCCUGACGCAGCCAUGCCGCGUGAAUGAUGAAGGUCUUAGGAUUGUAAAAUUCUUUCAGCGGGACGAUAAUGACGGUACCCGCAGAAGAAGCCCGGCUAACUCGUGCCAGCAGCCGC